UUUUAAUUCAUAUUUCUCUGUAAGUGUGAUUUAGCAUCUUUUUUCUUUUAAAUUGACAAAAACUGUAUUUAUAGCACACUACAUGAUGGUCCGAAGUACGUAUGCACAGUGGAAAGGCUAAAUCGAGCUAAUUAGCACAUGUCUUAACUCACAUGCUUAUUUCUUAGUGGUGGGAACACUUAAAUCUACUCUUAGCAAUUUCAGAAAUUCAUUAGUUAUAGUCACCAUACUGUACAAUAAUCCCUGACCAACAUCUUCCCAGCGCGUCCCACCCCGCCCCCUGCCCCAGGCAACCACCACUCUGCUCCUAUGAGUUCCCCUUUCUGCGAGUACACAUGUAAGUGAGAACAUGCAGGAUUUGUCUUUUUGUGCCUGGCUUAUUUCACUUAACAGAAUGUCCUUUGGGUUCAUAUAUGUUGUCACAAAUGAUAAGGUUUCAUCCUUUUCCAAGGCUAUACAGCACUCCACUGUAUAUACAGAUGAAGCCACACAGCACUCUGCUGUGCAUAUCGACCAGGUGGCACAGCACCCCCCUGUGCAUGUAGACCAGGCCAUGCAGCACUCCGCUGUGUAUAUAGACCAGGCCGUACAGUACUCCGCUGUGUAUAUAGACCAGGCCGUACAGUACUCCGCUGUGUAUAUAGACCAGGCCGUACUGCACUCCGCUGUGUAUAUAGAUUAGGCCGUACAGUACUCCGCUGUGCAUACAGACCAGGCCAUACUGCACUCCACUGUGUAUAUAGAGCAGGCCGUACUGCAUUCCGCUGUGCAUACAGACCAGGCCAUGCAGCCCUCUGCUGUGGAUACGGACCAUGUUCUGUUUAUCCCCUCAUCUGUGACCGAUCCCAUAUCUUGGCUACUGUGAUGGAUUUC
rnacentral:lncRNA from 1 species